rnacentral:rRNA from 1 species
GACGAACGCUGGCGGCGUGCUUAACACAUGCAAGUCGAACGGAAAGGCCCUGCUUUUGUGGGGUGCUCGAGUGGCGAACGGGUGAGUAACACGUGAGUAACCUGCCCUUGACUUUGGGAUAACUUCAGGAAACUGGGGCUAAUACCGGAUAGGAGCUCCUGCUGCAUGGUGGGGGUUGGAAAGUUUCGGCGGUGUGGGAUGGACUCGCGGCUUCUCAGCUUGUUGGUGGGGUAGUGGCUUACCAAGGCUUUGAAGGGUAGCCGGCCUGAGAGGGUGACCGGGCACAUUGGGCCUGCGAGACGGCCCAGACUCCUACGGGCGGCAGCAGUGGGGAAUAUUGCACAAUGGGCGGAAGCCUGAUGCAGCAACGCCGCGUGCGGGAUGACGGCCUUCGGGUUGUAAACAGCUUUCGCCUGUGACGAAGAGUGAGUGACGGUAAUGGGUAAAGAAGCACCGGCUAACUACGUG